AUGCCUUGAAACUGUGUAUGAGUG
rnacentral:siRNA from 1 species